rnacentral:tRNA from 1 species
GCGGCCGUGGUCUAGCCUGGUCUAGGACACAGGCCCGCCACGCCUGUCACCCGGGUUCAAAUCCCGGCGGCCGCA